rnacentral:rRNA from 1 species
UUGAGUAGGGGAGCGUCGUGUCAGUGGUGAAGCUGCCGGGUGACUGUGUGGUGGAGUUGAUGCGAGUGAGAAUGCAGGCAUGAGUAGCGAUAAGGCAAGUGAGAACCUUGCCCGCCGAAAGACCAAGGGUUCCUGGGCCAGGCCAGUCCGCCCAGGGUGAGUCGGGACCUAAGGCGAGGCCGACAGGCGUAGUCGAUGGACAACGGGUUGAUAUUCCCGUACCCGUGUGUGCGCGCCCGUGAUGAAUCCAUUCUGCUAACCACCCAAAUGGUGGCCCAUCAAUCCCUUUCGAGGGUGCGAGAGCCGCCGGCUGCGUGGGACCCGGGUGGGUAGUAGUCAAGCGAUGGGGUGACGCAGGAAGGUAGCCGUACCAGUCAGUGGUAAUACUGGGGCAAACCCGUAGGACGACAUCUAGGUAAAUCCGGAUGUCACAUAAGUCCGAGAGGUGAUGCAUAACCGGAUGAGGUGAAUUCGGUGAUCCUCAGCUGCCGAGAAAAGCCUCUAGCGAGCACACACACGGCCCGUACCCCAAACCAACACAGGUGGUCAGGUAGAGAAUACCAAGGCGACGAGCGAA